rnacentral:rRNA from 1 species
GACGAACGCUGGCGGCGUGCUUAACACAUGCCAGUCGAACGGAAAGGCCCUGCUUUUGUGGGGUGCUCGAGUGGCGAACGGGUGAGUAACACGUGAGUAACCUGCCCUUGACUUUGGGAUAACUUCAGGAAACUGGGGUUAAUACCGGAUAGGAGCUCCUGCUGCAUGGUGGGGGGUGGACAGUUUCGGCGGUUGGGGAUGGUCUCGCGGCUUAUCAGCUUGUUGGUGGGGUAGUGGCUUACCAAGGCUUUGACGGGUAGCCGGCCUGAGAGGGUGACCGGCCACAUUGGGCCUGAGGUACGGCCCAGACUCGUACGGGAGGCAGCAGUGGGGAAUAUUGCACAAUGGGCGGAAGCCUGAUGCAGCAACGCCGCGUGCGGGAUGACGGCCUUCGGGUUGUAAACCGCUUUCGCCUGUGACGAAGCGUGAGUGACGGUAAUGGGUAAAGAAGCACCGGCUAACUACGUG